rnacentral:rRNA from 1 species
CCUACGGGUGGCAGCAGUGAGGAAUAUUGGUCAAUGGGCGUAAGCCUGAACCAGCCAAGUCGCGUGAGGGAUGAAGGUUCUAUGGAUCGUAAACCUCUUUUAUAAGGGAAUAAAGUGCGGGACGUGUCCCGUUUUGUAUGUACCUUAUGAAUAAGGAUCGGCUAACUCCGUGCCAGCAGCCGCGGUAAUACGGAGGAUCCGAGCGUUAUCCGGAUUUAUUGGGUUUAAAGGGAGCGUAGGCCGGUCUUUAAGCGUGCCGUGAAAUUUUGUGGCUCAACCAUGAGAGUGCGGCGCGAACUGGAGACCUUGAGUGCGCGGAAGGCAGGCGGAAUUCGUGGUGUAGCGGUGAAAUGUUUAGAUAUCACGAAGAACCCCGAUUGCGAAGGCAGCCUGCCGCAGCGUUACUGACGCUGAAGCUCGAAAGCGCGGGUAUCGAACAGGAUUAGAUACCCUUGUAGUC